GAUCCCAACGUAUCCCAUCCAUAUAUUUAUAGUCUAGAUACUACCAGGAAAGAUAGGCCCAACAAAACGACAACACACACGUGGUGUGAGGGCCACUUUUUCUUGCUUCGUUUUUCUCUUUUUUUUUCUUCUUUUUUUGGUUUUCUUCUUUUUUGGUUUUUCGUUUAGAUAUCGAUAGAGGAAGGGACUUGGGAGGGGUGUAGGUAGGAAUAGA
rnacentral:RNase_P_RNA from 16 species